rnacentral:lncRNA from 1 species
GAAAUAUAGUAAUAUUGCAUAUAGUAUGAGAAAAACGGACCAAAACACAAAAAUUUAACUAUAACCACUGAACCAUUAAAAUGAGGUCAAGGUCAGAUGACACCUGCCAGUUGGACAUGUACACCUUACAGUCCUUCCAUACAUCGAAUAUACUAGACCUAUUGCUUAUAGUAUCUGAGAUAUGGACUUGACCACCAAAACUUAACCUUGUUCACUGAU